rnacentral:tRNA from 1 species
GCGGGAGUAGUUCAAUGGUUAGAGCACUAGCUUGUCACGCUAGAAGUUGCGGGUUCGAGUCCCGUCUCCCGCG